GGGAAGAAAGAUUGGAAUUUUGCAGCUUCUGUGGAGACAGGGGCUAUACAGUUUUUACCUGAAUUGUCUUAUUUCUACUUCAUAUUAUGUAAAACAGUCAUCUAUCCUUAACUGAGGAAAUUGUUUAUGUUCUGUCUGUGUACAACAAGAAGGAGAAAUACCAACCGAUUAGGAUGGCAGCAUUUAAUAUCCAAGAGGCACUAAACUGGAAGGAAAAAAUUGAACUUAUAAUUGAUCAGGAUUCAGCUCCACCAUCACCCUCUGGUAAUCGGAUGAGUUUUGCCAGUGAUCGGUUUAGCAUCUUCAGUGAUGAUAUUGAGGACUGAUUGAACAAGUUC